CUAGGAACUUCAAACUUUGUAUGAUGAUUGGUAGUGACCAGCAGAUGACCCCUAUUGAGUUUUGGGUCAAGGGGUCAAAGGUUAAGGUCAUGACCAGUAGAUACUUGAUAACCCUUAUUAAUUGUUUGAUCACUGGGUCAGAAGUCAUGCAUAAUAACCUUAUCACAUGACUAAUUGGCUGCUGAUAGGGGGCAUACAUGUUUUACAAACAUAUCUU